GAGUUUGAUCCUGGCUCAGGAUGAACGCUAGCGGCAGGCUUAACACAUGCAAGUCGAGGGGCAGCGCGAGUAGCAAUACUUGGCGGCGACCGGCGCAAGGGUGCGUAACGCGUGAGCAACAUGCCCGUAUCAGGGGGAUAAUCCAGGGAAACUUGGUCUAAUACCCCAUAGUAAUUUUGUAAGGCAUCUUAUAGAAUUUAAAGCUUUGGUGGAUACGGAUUGGCUCGCGUGACAUUAGCUUGAUGGUAAGGUAACGGCUUACCAUGGCUAUGAUGUCUAGGGGUUCUGAGAGGAAGGUCCCCCACACUGGAACUGAGACACGGCCCAGACUCCUACGGGAGGCAGCAGUGAGGAAUAUUGGACAAUGGAUGGAAAUCUGAUCCAGCCAUGCCGCGUGCAGGAAGACGGUCCUAUGGAUUGUAAACUGCUUUUGUAUGGGAGCAAUAAGGCCUUCGUGAAGGCUGAUGAGAGUACCAUACGAAUAAGCACCGGCUAACUCCGUGCCAGCAGCCGCGGUA
rnacentral:rRNA from 1 species